rnacentral:rRNA from 1 species
UACAGAGGUCCCGAGCGUUGUUCGGAUUCACUGGGCGUAAAGGGUGCGUAGGUGGCUUUGCAAGUCUGAUGUGAAAUCUCCAGGCCCAACCUGGAAACUGCAUUAGAAACUGUGAGGCUAGAGGCUUGGAGGGGGAACUGGAAUGCUCGGUGUAGCAGUGAAAUGCGUAGAGAUCGAGCGGAGCACCAGUGGCGAAGGCGAGUUCCUGGACAAGUCCUGACACUGAGGCACGAAAGCCGGGGGAGCAAACAGG